rnacentral:rRNA from 1 species
GUGCUGCAGCGGAGACAAGGAAUGACUUCUGGCGGAUUGACAAUAAAGGAGGUUAAUGACGCACUCGAUCGUCUAUCUGCAAGUGAUACUAGGUCUGAGAAGGCUUCGGUUCUUUCAAGUCUGAUCAAGAAAACCAAUGCCCUUGAAAUGAAGUGGCUUCUAAUGAUUAUUAUUAAAGACUUGAAAUUGGGGAUCAGUGAGAAGAGCAUAUUCCAUGAAUUUCAUCCUGACGCUGAGGACUUGUUCAAUGUCACUUGUGACUUAAAAUGGGUCUGUGAAAAGCUUAAUGAUCGAAGUCAAAGGCAUAAACGUCAGGAUAUAGAAGUCGGAAAGGCUGUGAGGCCUCAGCUAGCUAUGAGAGUCGGUAACGCUUCAUCUGCAUGGAAGAAGCUUCACGGCAAACCAGUGGUUGCUGAGUGCAAAUUUGAUGGUGACCGUAUCCAAAUUCAUAAGCAUGGGGAAGAGAUUCAUUUCUUCUCACGGACCUUUCUUGAUCAUUCUGAAUAUACAUCUGGGAUGUCCAAAUUUAUUAAGGAAAAUAUCCUGGUUGACAGGUGUAUUUUGGAUGGGGAGAUGCUUGUUUGGGACACUGCGCUGAAUCGGUUUGCUGAAUUUGGCUCAAACCAGGAAAUAGCAAAGGCUGCUAGUGAGGGGCUGGAGACAAAUCGACAGGUUUUAUCAUUAACUUGUUCACUAUAGGUUCAUUUUAGGUUCACCCUGGUAUGGGCAUAUGGCAGUGCCUAUCUAACUGAAUUUACCUUUUUUCCCUUGCAGUUGUGCUGUAUCCUUCACUUUUAACUGCUUCUUGCAUCUUGCUUUCUGUAUUGAUACCUAACCGGCAAAUUGGUAAUGAAACACCUUUUGGGUGUCAGUGUCCUGAAAACACUAGGACAACUGUUUCUCGCUUGGGUAGACCUAUAUGCAUUUAACACAUGACCUUAAAAUUAUUUUCCUUUGGUUCACAAAUACUUAAUUAUGACAUUAUUUCACCCUUCAGUUUUUCAUAUCACUUUUUCUUUUCAUGCUGGCCAUGUUUUGCUUGACGCUAGGAAUGUGCAGAUAUUGCUUUUGACAUUCUUUAUUCUGGAGACACUAGUGUUAUCCACCAAAGUUUGUCGGAGCGGCAUGAAAUUCUGCGGAAGGUUGUCAAACCUUUAAAGGGUCGUCUUGAGAUUUUGGUCCCAACAGGUGGUCUAAACACCCAUCGUCCCCCAGAUGAACCAUGCUGGUCCAUUUUUGCUCCCAAUAUUGAAGACGUUGAGAAAUUCUUCAAGGAGACUGUCGAAAACAGAGAUGAGGGAAUUGUACUAAAGGACCUUGAUUCCAAAUGGGAACCUGGUGAUCGAACUGGAAAGUGGCUUAAACUAAAGCCUGAUUAUAUACAUGCUGGUGCUGAUCUGGAUGUUAUUAUUAUAGGUGGAUAUUAUGGAUCAGGGCGUCGAGGAGGAGAGGUUGCACAGUUUUUAGUUGGUCUUGCAGUGUCUUCAGAUGAUAAUAGUCACCCCAAAAGAUUUCUUUCAUUUUGUCGAGUCGGUACCGGUCUCUCCGAUGAAGAACUUGCCACUCUAGUCACGAAACUGAAGCCCCACUUUAGCAAAAGUGGGACCCCCCAAAAAACACCCAGAUUUUAUGAAGUAACAAACAAUUCGAAGGAGCGGCCAGAUGUUUGGAUAGAAAGCACUGAUAAGUCAGUCAUACUAUCUAUAACAAGUGAUAUUCGAACAAUCAAAUCCGAGGUUUUUGCUGCCCCAUACUGCUUGAGGUUCCCCCGCAUUCAACGAGUGAGAUAUGAUAAGCCAUGGCACGAGUGCCUUGAUGUGCAAUCAUUUGUGGAGAUCGUGCACUCAAGUAAUGGGUCAAUGCACAAGGCAGAAGAUGAUAAGAGUCUGAAAAACGACAACUUAAAGAACCCAAAAAUAAACAAAAGGGGGGAGAAGAAGAAUGUAUCAAUCAUCCCUUCACAUCUUAUGAAGACUGACAUAUCAGGCUUAAAGGGCGAAACCCUGAUAUUUGCAAACACGAUGUUCUAUUUUGUCAACACCCCUCCGUCAUAUAACCUCGACUAUUUCCAUAAACUGGUUGUGGAGAAUGGAGGAUCUUUCUCGAUGAAUCUUAAUGACUCUGUUACUCACUGCAUAGCAGCAGAGAAGAAAGGUAUCAAAUAUCAGGCGGCCAUACGCCACGGAAGGAUCAUUCAUUAUUCCUGGAUCUUGGACUGUUGCAAGCAAAAAAUACUUCUUCGUUUGCAACCCAAGUAUAUCCUCUUUCUUGCAGAUUUUGCUAGGCACAAAUUUCCUGAAGAGAUUGACUCGUACGCUGAUUUUUACUACUGGGACAUCGAUGUUUCUGACCUGAAGCAGAUUUUCAUCAACAUGGACAAAGUUACUGUUGAUCCAAGCAUGGUACAUCGGUACAAAAAGAAGUAUUAUGCAGAUGAAAGAUUCUGCUUCUUCCAGGGUUGCUGCGUUUACUUGUAUCAUGCACCUUUAGUGAAUGAGGACUACAAUGUAAUAUCUGAUCUUGCACUAAAGAGGGUGAAGCAGGACCUUACAAUGCAUGGUGGUCAGUAUUGCAGUAGCCUUGCUCCUGCCACACAUUUGGUUAUAGUUUCAGUUCUUCAGGUGUACAAUUUUGACAUAUUGUACAAGAGCUUCUCUCCAGCUGAGAGGCGUUACCUACACGACAAAAGAUUGCAUGUUGUCAGUAACAAGUGGUUAGAAGAUUCAGUGGAGAAACAAAUGAAACUGCCUGAAACCGCCUACAACCUUAAACCAGAUACAUUAGAAGAAAUACAAAUCGAAAGGAGUGAGGAAAUGGCCCAGCCCUCUAAUGACAAGACUGCUAAAAAUGAGGAUGUUGAAAUAUCUCAUGUUAAACAUGCAAGGAAAAGGGGCAGGGCGGCCAGCGGUAGUUCGAAAACUGUACGGGCUGCUCCUAGGCCAGUCCGAACAACAAGGGCUAGAAGAGGAAAUAAGCAGGCAAAAAUAGAUGAUGGUGAACCUGAAGAAAACGGUCCUGGUGAAACAGGUCAAGAUGAUGAAAAGUUGAACACACAUCACAUCUCCAGGAUGGAAGAAGAUAACAGUGACAAGGACCAACGACCACCUCGAGCUGCUCCUAGACCAGUUCGAAGAACAAGUGCUAGAAGAGGAACCCGGCAAGCAAAAAUAGACUAUCGUGAAUCUGACGAAAGCGGCCCUGGUGAAACAGGUGAAGAUCAAAAGCUGGGCACAGAUUCUGUCGUAAAGAUGGAAGAAGAUAGCCUGGAUGAAGACCAAGGACCGCCAGCAGGUGCCCAGUUCAUCACACUGGAUGAGCGAGAGCCAAAAGUCGUCAAAUUGAGUGCAGCAGAGGAUACGACAACCAGUCCAAAGUUCGAAAGCAAAGGAACUUCUGAAAGAGCAGACGCUGGUGAAGGAACAAGCAUGGCAGCCGAGAAGAUAGAACAGAUGGUGGAUCCUCUGCAUGCGAUGCUUCUCGACAUGAUACCGUCGCUUAGGGAAGACGCAAGCAGCGCUCCCCCAGCCAAAGUUGAGCACGAUCCGCCGCGUGUGAGAAGUUCCACGUAACAGGGCUCCGGUGCCUGAGACAGGAGGCUCUGCAUCCAAUCCCAUGGCUCCGGCACCGCGUGCAGGAAGUUCGUCAUACAGUGCGGGGGUUCCAGCCCCAGAUCCAAACCCCGUGGCUCCGAAGAAGAAAAAGGUUGAUCUUCGAAUAUUGAAGGCUGUAGCCAGUCAGUAUUCCUCUGAUGUCGAUGCAGCUGUUGGAUUUGUUCUUUCCGAUGUCAUUCCAGCAGUAAGCGAACCUACCGAAACAGUUUUCACACUCCAAGAUGUUGAUUAUGCAGAACACGGACCUGCUGAUUGCAGGAAGUCUAACUUACACUCUGGAGGGAUAUCAUUGGUGGAUCUAGUAGGAGCUAAAGAGGAUGCCAGUGCCCUAUUCGCUACGUCAGCUGAGAGCAGUGGCACUGUUGGUGAAUGUGAUCCAUUUUCAGAUUAUGAUGGACCAUUCCAGAGUAACAACACAGUAGAAAAAUGUUCCCAGAUCGAGGAUAAGGUGGUGAUAAAUGAAACAAGAAUUCCUACAACAGUAAUGAACAGCCUUCUUCAGGAGCAUUAUGCUCUGCUUGGAUCGUCAUCGACAUCUGCAACGGAGCCACAUAUGAUAGAGUAUGAGCAGUCUGAUUCAGGAGGAUGUAAUGAUCAUUGUGCAGCUGAAAAAGAUGAAGUGACUCCAGAGACUGAAAUAGGCAACCACAAGCAUUAUAAUGAUAAUUAUGAGCUAUCAGAUUUGCUUGCCUCUUCUGGGAAUAUGUUGCCAUUAUUUAUGGAGAGCCCUUCAGAUUGUGCAGUGAAACAUGGAGGGCAAGUGCCUCUGAAACUUUCUGAUGAGGAAGGCAAACAGACAUCAAAGAACUUGCCAAAUGCUCCAACUGUCCAUACGCUCUCCAACCCAAAGGAUAAUAAUGACUUACAAGUUCUGUUUGAAAACAAAGAUAAUGCUGGAGAAGAGUUGGGUGCACUCUGUACUGCAGAAAAUACCCCUGAACUCCACAAGUCAGCAAAUGAUGGCAACUUCUACAAUUUAUUUGGCGAUCUAUGCACAGUUGACGAGACAACAAAAGCACCUUUGAAUUUUACCGAGGAGAAAAAUGAGCAGUCUUUUGUUAAGCUAGACGACCAACACAAACUAUUUGACUUAUUUGCCUCAUCCAAAAUCAUCGACAAUUCAUUACAAGCCUUUCAAGAAAAGGGUGGUUCCGAGACAGUUCAUAAUGAGGAGCUACCUUCAAUACAUCUCAAUUUCAAUCAUCGUGGAACAUUUACUAGUACGUGCAAUUUCGAUGGUGAUAAGCACUACUCCUUAUGCCCGAUGGUUGAGCUUGAUGCAGAUCAGCCUAAUGAAGAAUGGGUGAUGCCUGGUGCAGAUAAAAGUGAGGGAUUUCUCGAUAACUCCACUCAGUCAUUUCAUAUCACUGAAAUAAACAAGAAUAUUUCUGAUAUCACUAAAAGCAAGGAAUUAUUGAGCUGUUUGUAUGAAUCAACAAUCAUGAAGAUGAAAGAGGUUGAGCUUCAGGAGGAAAAGUCUCGACUAGCAAAACAAAAUGCUGACAAGGCACAUCAAAAUUUUCUUGCCAUGGCAGAGCACUUUAAUCACCUCAUUGAGAAUUCCAAAGAGUCAAAUGAUAAGCAAGCUCAAGUAGUGUGCGAAGAAAAUUGUUCGUUGGUGGCUCUAACUCAGGACCUUCAGUCUAAGCUUACCAAAUUGGCUGCUCAAAGAAAUGAAGUGCUUACAGCUGUUCAGGAGAUUAAAUUUCAACAAGAUGCACGUCUAGCAACUUCGCUGGAGGAAGAGGCUACAGCAAUGGAGCAAAUUAUCCAAGAAGAUAAAUUAGCUCUAUUGGUACGUAAAGAGAAGGAAGCUACAAUGGGGAGCAUAAUGGAGGAGUCAAGAAAGCUCCAAAAGGAAGCCGAAGAGAACAUUUUGCUGAGAGAACAAUUGUUGGACCGGGGUCACAUCAUUGAUAUCAUGCAAGGAGAAAUAUCAAGCAUCCUCGCCCGUGUAAGCAAGCUUAAAUCAGCCCUGGUGACAACUAGCAGCUCAGCUAAUUCUUCCCACAAGGAUGACUGUAAGAGUGCGUCAGUUGACACAGACCGGCCUUUGGGGAACGAUGACAGAAAUGAUCUGCCUCAUAGGAGCCAUGCUAAGGACCAUACCACAUCUUCGGAUGACGACGACAACGAAUGGGAGGUGCUAGAAGCAAAUUAAGCCUAGAGUGGUUCAGUUCACUGUUCAAAUAUGUCUUGGUCAAUAAGAGGGCAGCAGCAUCUUGGCUCGCCCAAAAUGUAUGUGCCAAGCAGCAGAAUGUACAGCCCCAAACUGCUACUGUUGGAAGUGAACCUCCAAACUAUGCAGGUGUUUGGCUCUCGUGCUUUGUAAAUAUACAGAUAUGGAGAUGGACAUAUAUCAGUAUUUACUGUUGUAAUUAAACUUGGUUGUAAUCUAUCUGUCAUGUAAAUAAACAUGAAAUUAUGUGCCUAUGUUUGUACAGAAUCAAAUCAUAUAUAUUGGCAAAUAAUAUGAUUGCAAUGUAUGCAUGUUAUAUUCCUG